rnacentral:rRNA from 1 species
CCUACGGGAGGCAGCAGUAAGGAAUAUUGGUCAAUGGACGAAAGUCUGAACCAGCCAUGCCGCGUGGAGGAUGAAGGUCCUCUGGAUUGUAAACUUCUUUUAUAUGGGACGAAAAAAGGGUUUUCUAACUCGUCUGACGGUACCAUAUGAAUAAGCACCGGCUAACUCCGUGCCAGCAGCCGCGGUAAUACGGAGGGUGCAAGCGUUAUCCGGAUUCACUGGGUUUAAAGGGUGCGUAGGUGGGUUGGUAAGUCAGUGGUGAAAUCUCCGAGCUUAACUUGGAAACUGCCAUUGAUACUAUCAGUCUUGAAUAUUGUGGAGGUCAGCGGAAUAUGUCAUGUAGCGGUGAAAUGCUUAGAUAUGACAUAGAACACCAAUUGCGAAGGCAGCUGGCUACGCAUAUAUUGACACUGAGGCACGAAAGCGUGGGGAUCAAACAGGAUUAGAUACCCUGGUAGUCCACGCCCUAAACUAUGGAUACUCGACAUUUGCGAUACACAGUAAGUGUCUGAGCGAAAGCAUUAAGUAUCCCACCUGGGAAGUACGAUCGCCAGAUUGAAACUCAAAUGAAUUGACGG